UGCAGAUGAUGUAAAAGAAUAUUUGCUAUCUGAACAUCCGUGAUGACAAUCCCACCAAGAUCGCUGAUGCA
rnacentral:snoRNA from 1 species